CCUGCUGACAGUCUGCUGGAUGCUGUUGCCAGAAGAGGUUGUCUGUGUUGAGCAGGGUGCUCAGCUCUCCACGAGAUGCUAAAUAUCUACUGAGGUUAGAGACUUUUUGAGGUAAAGAGGAGCAUCUCAUCUGAACCUGAUGUCUAUCAUGGAUAUUUAACUGCAGUUCUGUGAGUAUCCCAACUUAACCAUGUAGAUGAACUGCAAACUAAGUCAUUAAUAUCUCAUUACUCUUGGGCACAUUGAUGUAUUUUGGCUUCCUGGUGAGUUAACCUGUUACCUGACGGUUGAUCUGCGUAGUAAGGAUGUUUUAUUGGUUCAUAGGUUACUUAGGUGUUUGUUUUAUGUUGGUUUUAAUGAUUUGUUAAAAUGGUUACAGGCUCCAAGUUAUUGUUGUAAGCUGGAGCAAUGGGUUGGGUUCUGACAUCUGCAGUCUUCUUUCAUUCUACUCUCCUGAGCUCUGCAUCUUCAUCACAUGAGUGUUGCUUUACUGAUGAGGGUGAGGUCUGAGUGAGCAGAGGUGCAUACUGGGAUACAGAGCUGUCUGAAGUCUACAGGUCUGUAGACACGCCCCCUCAGGGGAAACGGAGUGUUUGAGAAUCUGUCGUGACGUCAGUUACAUGGACUGGAAUGUUCUUAAAGAUGGAGACAGGGAUUCAGAAGGAGAAACACCAGGGGGAGAUGAGGGGGCUCCUCAUCUCAACGGCUAAAACACAACUUCAGUCUGACAGAGAACCAUGGAACACAUUCAACAGUCUCCUCCAGGCAUCGUGACUCCUCAGGAAGGUUUCAUUUCCAAGGUCUUAUUUGGGGCCAUCCCCAUAUGGAUCCUGCUCCUCAAGAGCCAGCCCCCUCCACUGGGUGGUCUUCUGAACAGAUGACCUCCUCCCUGUCCUCAGGCUGACUAAAGCUGCACCGUUUGCAUCUGUGAAGGCCCCUCAUUCAGGAAACCACUUGACUACAAAGACAUGACUUCAGAGACGUUGAAUCAACCUGGGACAUAUUUUGGAGACGCAAAGCAUAAUCCAUCACCAAUGUGGGACGCCACUGAAGAAUGUUGUGCAUAAUUUACAUCUCUGGAGAAAUUGGUUGUUCU